GAAAAACCCUAUCAAGUGUCUACUCAAAAGUUAGUCAUGACCGAUGUCAAUAGAAAAAAUCUAGCCAAUAUUGGCAAAAAAAAAAAUCAUUGGUCAGCAUCAACUGAAAAAAUCUGGAUGACAAUGACAAAAAAAAAUCCUUGGCCAACAUUAGCAAAAAUUCUCCAUAACUGACGUCAAUGAAAAAAUAACCCUAACCAACAUUAUCUAAAAAAAAAUCUUAGUCAAUAUCGGCAAAAAAUAGCUUUGGUUGACAUCAUACAAAAAAAAUUUGACCGAAAAAAGUUGGGCC
rnacentral:lncRNA from 1 species